AUACAUUCAUCCACUUUAAGCUCAUGUCAUCAGCACGGAAACAAGGAAGCACCCAAUGCAUGCAUUUUUAUUGAUCACAUCAGCAAGGGUCUCCAGAGUUUAGACCUUUGUAUUCAGGGAGAUGUUCUGUUCAAUUAACUGAAAUGUUUAUUAAUGAUCUAAAAACAUUGAUAGGAAGCUUACCUAGUUACCUGCACCUUGGGAUCACUCUACUAUAGCAUGUAGAAAAGAAGACAUAUUUAAAAAAAAGAUCUGGUGCUGUCGGUUUCAACCCUGCCCAUCUCUAGGCACGCCACCAGCAUCAAUUCUCUCUUUUUGUCACAAUAGAAACCUAAAUGUAUUCCCAGUACAGCACUCAACAGAGAGGGCCCGGCCAGCUGUCUGGUCAGCUUAUUGACUGUUUGCAAUUGGGUGAUGCUUCACAUCAUGGUCUGAAUUUUGGUUUUUAGAAUCUUAUAAUGAUUUUUGUUUUGCUUUAUUUCAUAAAUUUAGUUAUAAAUCUGCAUUAGUGAAAUGAUUCGCUUGCAUGAAGGUAGUUUCUAAUCAAUAAAUGAAUGUAUGUAACUCAGUUCAUAACUGAUUAAGAGUUAACAUCUUUUUGUUAAAUAUAAAUUGUUGUUGCAAUUAUUCAAGUGGACCAAUAACCGUCUCACCUAAGAGCUUUAGUUUUAUCGAAAAGUGUAAAAAAGCUAGAGUGAAGGUACUGAGUGUAACACUUGGCCAUGACUUAGUCUUGGCAUGAUUCGUUUUUCCUCAAGAUCUUUUUUCUUAGCUGUUGUAGACUUAGUUACCAGAGUUGUGAGACUUAAGAUGUAUAGUGCCAAAACUGUUCACUAAAAUUUGCAACACUUAUCAUGGCAAGCUCUUAUGAGUUCAACUGGGAUGACUUAUCUACCUUGGCUAAGUUUACACUCUAGUUUUUUUACGUACAUAUUCGGUUGCUUCUGUUGUUUUUUUUAAUCACAAUGGUUGCUGUUUGUCAGGUGAUGCCAAUAUAAACUUUGAAAUGCAAUAUGUUUUGCAUCAUUAUAAUAUUUAAAUAAAAAAAUGACUAUGUUUUUA